AACCUUUACACUACGCGAAAGCGUGAUAAGGGGAUCCUGAGUGCUCAUGCUUUGCAUGGGCUUUUGCCAAGGGUAAAUACCUUGGCGAAUAAGUGGUGGACAAGACUGGUGCCAGCCGCCGCGGUAACCCCAGCGCCACUAGUGGGGAUCGUAAUUAUUUGGCCUAAAGCGUCCGUAGCCGGGCUGUUAAAUCUUUUGUGAAAUCGUUAAGCUUAACUUAACGGCGUGCAGAAGACACUGGCAGCCUAGGGACUGGGAGGCGUCAGAUGUAUGCCAAGGGGAGCAGUAAAAUGCUAUAAUCCUCGGUAGACAACCUGUGGCGAAGGCGUCUGACGAGAACAGGUCCGACGGUCAGGGACGAAAGCUAAGGGAGCAAUCCGG
rnacentral:rRNA from 1 species